AAGAAGGAAUUUCAAGCCCUAAGAGGACCCUCCUCUCGUCUGUGCAGGGACUAUGCAGCCAUCGUCUUCUUUGCUAACAACCGCUUUGAGACAGGGAAGAAAAAACUGCAGUAUCUGAGCUUCGGUGACUUUGCCUUCUGCGCUGAGCUCAUGAUCCAAAACUGGACCCUUGGAGCCGUCGACUCGCAGAUGGAUGACAUGGACAUGGACUUAGACAAGGAAUUUCUCCAGGACUUGAAGGAGCUCAAGGUGCUAGUGGCUGACAAGGACCUUCUGGACCUGCACAAGAGGUGACCUUGUAGGGGCCCAUGGGGCGGGGCCUGCAGUAGGGGCCCAGGUGGCUAUAGGCGUGACCCUGUCUCUCUGCAGCCUGGUGUGCACUGCUCUCCGGGGAAAGCUGGGCGUCUUCUCUGAGAUGGAAGCCAACUUCAAGGUCUGUGGUCCCAUCCAGCCUCU
rnacentral:sRNA from 1 species